rnacentral:rRNA from 1 species
UACGAAGGUGGCAAGCGUUGUUCGGAUUUACUGGGCGUACAGGGAGCGUAGGCGGUUGGGUAAGCCCUCCGUGAAAUCUCCGGGCCUAACCCGGAAAGUGCGGAGGGGACUGCUCGGCUAGAGGAUGGGAGAGGAGCGCGGAAUUUCCGGUGUAGCGGUGAAAUGCGUAGAGAUCGGGAGGAAGGCCGGUGGCGAAGGCGGCAUCCUGGACCAACACUGACGCUGAGGAGCGAAAGCCAGGGGAGCAAACGGG